GACGAACGCUGGCGGCGUGCUUAACACAUGCAAGUCGAGCGGAAAGGGCCUGCUUUUGUCUGGUUCUCGAGUGGCGAACGGGUGAGUAACACGUGAGUAACCUGCCCUUUACUUUGUGAUAUCUUCAGGAAACUGGGGCUAAUACCGGAUAGCAGCUCGUGCUGCAUGGUGGGGGUUGGAAAGUAUCGUCGGUUGGGGAUGGACUCGCGGCUUAUCAGCUGGUUGGGGGGGGAGGUGCUUACCAAGGCUUUGGCGGCUAGCCUGCCUGAGAGGGUGACCGGCCACAAGGGGACUACGGGACGGCGCAGACUGCUACGUGAGGCAGCAGUGGGGAAUAUUGCACAAUGGGCGGAAGCCUGAUGCAGAAACCCCGCGUGCGGAAUGACGGCCUUCGUGUUAGAAACCGCUUUCGCCUGAGACGAAGCGGGAGUGACGUUAAUGGGUAAAGAAGCACCGGCUAACUACGUG
rnacentral:rRNA from 1 species